rnacentral:lncRNA from 1 species
AGAACACAGGAUGUCAGCGCCAUCUUGUGACGGCGAAUGUGGGGGUGGCUCCCAACAGGUUUUGCUAUGGGUUUCGUUUCUCAAGGUAAGUAAGUAAAUAAAUAAACAAAUAUCUCUCUAUUUUAAAAACAAAACUUAUUUUAUUUCUUUCAUUUCGAAGGUAAAGUUCGAAAAGAUUUCUCACUCUAAUGUGAGCUUAUGUUUUUCUUUCUUUCUUCAUAUUCAUUCUUUUAAAAAUUACUUUAACCUAAGAGUCCAUGCAUUUGAUAGUACGCCAAGAAUUCUGUCUCAUAUUUUCCAACCUUCACAACUCCUUAAGCUAGGAAUUGUUGUUACAGAAGGAAAAUAGAUAUUUUUGUCUGUUUCCUACUCUUCCUGGCUUUUGAGAUUGGUUCUUACCCAUGCUAGUGGCCCCCGAGGGCUCCCAAACAUUGUGUUUACUGAUUGGUUCUCAAGGCUACCAUGUGAUCAUAGCUGGCCAAUCAUAACAGCCCAUGCUUCUUGGCACAGUGAUUGGUCCAGGAGCGUGACACACCCUAAAAAAAUCAAUGAGGUACAAUGAGAUUCUACUCCAAUCUCCUGACUUUCAUAAACCAGAAGAGUGAGACUCUGGGCCAAUUAGAAGCAGACUUUCUUCCAUCUUGUGAUGAAAUUGUUCACACACAGUGUUUGAAGAUAGGCAGAGAAGAAAGAUGGAGUCUCGUUUGUGACUCCAUUGGGAUGCCUAAUUAUUCUAGUAAUACAAAGCUUGCAGCUUUUACUCUUUGAACUAUUUUGAAUAGAAUUUUCAGAAAGAAUGAUAGUAAAUAAUAUCUCCAAAUGCGCAUUAACCAAAUUCUUUUCUUCAUGUUGUGUUCCAGAUUUUGCUCCCUUUUCCUGGACCCUGACUCUACUUCACUGCUAUAACAGCCAUGUACCAUGCCUGCCAUGAUGCUGCCAUGUUCCUGCCUUGAUAAUAGACUGGAUCUCUGAACCUGUAAGCCAGCCCUAAUGAAAUGUUGUCCUUAUAAGAGUUGCCUUGGUCAUGGUGUCUGUUCACAGCAGUAAAAUCCUAAGACAGAAGUUGUUACCAGGAGUGGGGUAUUGCUGUGAUAGGCUGGACGACACAGCUGAAUUUGACCAUGUAGUACCAAGAUCCUGUCACAACAGUAUCUUACAAAAUGAGAAUGGAAUGGAUGUGAAUCUUUGGUCUGUAGCAGCUGUUAUUAAAUCUAUAAGCCUAGCUAACCUCAGGAAGAUGGCUGGCAAAUGACUGUUUUAUUGUAUGCUUAGGUAUGCUUUGAUGUACUUUGGACACAGUUUUUUUUUUUUAAAUAAGAUUAUAGAUUAAAAAUUAUGUCCCAUGCAUGAAAUAUAGUGUAAUGUGGAGUUUAACCAAUGAUGACAUGUUUUGAGCAAUGAAAGUGCUAAAUUAGGUAAUAUUUAAGAUAUGAAUAAGAAUACCCAAGGGUAGGCUGAACCAAACUCUAACAAUGUUCACGAAAAUUGCUGUAUCACAAGGUUCACUUAAAUCAAUGUCACUAGAUCCUGCACCUCUGUCAAACACCCAGUGUUUCCAAUGUCUACGGCUACCAGUCUGACUGUUCUCCAAAAUUUACAACACAGAGAUCAGAAGGUUAUGUCUUCUUCCCAUCUAUCUACUCUGGCUUUACUAAUAAGUAAAAAUUAAGGGCUGAUGUAAUUCUUAACUGUCACCACCAAGAGACUUUGUGAUAUAUCCUUGGCUCUGAGUUCUUCCACAAAAAGGAUUAAACAUACAACAACAAAAAUCUGAUGAAAUUCUGGGAUACUUCAAACAGUUACAUGUUGACUCACAAAGCUCACUAACUGAUGAACCCAGUGAACUUGGAGAAUAAUAACGCAAAAGUGAGGUAACUGUUGAUUGCACAGUAGAUGCAGUUUGGGUGUGAGUAAGCACAUUGGUAGUCUCAGAACUCCUUAUCUAAAUGGCCAGAGUUGAACCCAGGUAGAUAUCAUUUUCAUUGGG